GCCACGGCUUUGUUAGGCAUUGCCACAUUUUCCAGUGAGUUCCAUGCUCAGAUUGUUCCUGCUUUGUACAGCCCGGGAUAAGCCUGUCAUGAUUACCAGAAAGCAGAGAUGUGGGCCACGGAAGCAUGGGUGAAUGCCGAUGAUGAAUACAGCUGGAGAGAGUGGGACGUGGUCUGUCCACCCCUCAUUAGGUGAGCAAGCGCAGAAAACGCAUUUUCAUCCCCCAGGCUUCUGUAUACUCUCGUGUGGAAUAAAAACUCUAUUGCUCCGGUCUGCAUGUUGCUGACGCCCCAGAAUCCCGAUGUGACAGCCUCGUACCUGAAGUGACAGUGUUCAGGGUGGGGGCUUUGAGGAGUGAUUAAAUCAUGAGGGCUGCACCAACGUGAAUGGGAUUUGUGCCCUUAUAAAACAGGCUGGAGCAUGUUCCUGUGCCCCCUUUGGCCACGUGAGGACACCUUGAAAGGCCACUCACGAGGAACAGUCCAGGCACUGAAUCCACUGGCGCCUCCAGAACUGUGAGCAGUAACAUUCCAUUGUUUAUAAAUUACUCAGUCUCCAGUACUUGGUUCCUGCAGCUAGAACAGGCUAAGGCCUCUGUCCGUGUUCCAGGGAAGCCUCCACAGGGCAGUCACUGCUGAGGAUACUCCGAGCAAAAGGUUCCGUGAUCCAGCACGGUGAUGCGCGCCCACUGUGCGACUUCCAGAGAUCACCGUGGCAUUCGUAAACCAGGAACCUCGUGGAUCUUUAGCCGUAUUAAACGUUUCCUAAACCUACAUGUGUAUUGGCCAUCCAUAAAUCUUUGGAGGAACGUCUAUGUAAAUCCUUUGCCCAUGUGUAAAGUUGGGUUAUUUGGUUUUUAUUACUGAGUUGUGAGAGUCCUUUUGUAAUAUUUUUCUUACUGAGUUGUGAGAGUCCUUUACAUAUUCUGAAUUUAGGUGCC
rnacentral:lncRNA from 1 species